GAUCAUGGCUCAGGAUGAACGCUAGCUACAGGCUUAACACAUGCAAGUCGAGGGGAAACGACAUCGAAAGCUUGCUUUUGAUGGGCGUCGACCGGCGCACGGGUGAGUAACGCGUAUCCAACCUGCCCAUCACUUGGGAAUAACCUUGCGAAAGUAAGACUAAUGCCCAAUGACAUCCCACGAAGGCAUCCGAAUGGGAUUAAAGAAUUUCGGUCAUCGAUGGGGAUGCGUUCCAUUAGG
rnacentral:rRNA from 1 species